GGUUAAGCGACUAAGCGUACACGGUGGAUGCCCUGGCAGUCAGAGGCGAUGAAGGACGUGCUAAUCUGCGAAAAGCGUCGGUAAGGUGAUAUGAACCGUUAUAACCGGCGAUGUCCGAAUGGGGAAACCCAGUGCAAUUCGUUGCACUAUCGUUAACUGAAUACAUAGGUUAACGAGGCGAACCGGGGGAACUGAAACAUCUAAGUACCCCGAGGAAAAGAAAUCAACC
rnacentral:rRNA from 1 species